CGGAGGGUGCAAGCGUUAUCCGGAUUCACUGGGUUUAAAGGGUGCGUAGGCGGGUUGGUAAGUCCGUGGUGAAAUCUCCGAGCUUAAACUCGGAAACUGCCGUGGAUACUAUCAAUCUUGAAUAUCGUGGAGGUAAGCGGAAUAUGUCAUGUAGCGGUGAAAUGCUUAGAUAUGACAUAGAACACCAAUUGCGUAGGCAGCUUACUACACGAUCAUUGACGCUGAGGCACGAAAGCGUGGGAGCAAACAGGAUU
rnacentral:rRNA from 1 species